ACUAGCAAAAUUGGAUUUGAAUGCUGCAAUGAAUUCAGAUGGAACUCAAACAUUGGGAAAUGUGAAAAAUGCCCCAAAGGAUAUACCGGGAAGGAUUGUUCGAAAAGGUGUAAACAUCCAAACUAUGGAGACAAAUGCCAGUCUGGUUGCUUAUGUAAUGAAACAUUAUGUGAUCCAGCCUAUGGUUGUUACCUAUUUACAGAACAAAGCUCAAAUUUUGCGGACAUGAAAUCCUCAAGAAAUAUUAAACAGCACGCAACAUUUAACUAUCUUAAUGAAAACCAGUCUGUAACAAGUUUAUAUAUGAAUACCAGUAUUCGUUCUUUAUCGUUCGCUGCUAACUUUCAGACCGUUUUAGUAGUUUCAAUUAUUUCAUCUAUUGCUUUGAUUAGUAUCACAUUAAGUGCUGUCAUUUUAUAUCGUUAUACGAAACUGCGACACAAAAUGACAACAAAUACCGAUAACUCAAAUACAGAUAUAUUGCCGAAGGAGAAGAAUUCAGGAGAUGUAGAACACAGAAAUGGUCGUCCGAUGUCAUCUGAAUCUCUAGACGGUAGAUCCGUGGACGAACAAGUUUCUUUUUAUAAAAAAAUAAAAGACAUUGCCUAUGAACUUGAAAAGGAUGUUAAGCAUACUUACUUACAAAUCAUUGAAAAUGAUGAACUGAUAAAUAAUGCUGAGUUCCUUGCCUUUGACAAUGAUGAUGAUAAGGCAUCAGAAAUAUACAUAACACCGGUGAAUAAAAAUUAUAUCCAGCAAAUUACCGAUUCUUAAUCGAAAAAGAACGGAUUAUAAACUUGAUAUUUUAGAAAGCAUACAACGAUUUGCCAUAUUUUCUCAUA